AUGGAAAGAAUGGCUCAUUCUUACUUUAAGGAGAUCUUCACCAAAGACCCGACCCUCUCCCCGGAUGAUGUUUUGGAUUGUAUUAUUCCAAAAGUUACAGAGGAGAUGAACGCUUCCCUGUGCAGGCCCUACUCUGACGAGGAAAUCUCUAAUGCGUUAUUUCAGAUCGGACCACUGAAAGCUCCGGGAUGUGAUGGUCUCCCUGCCAGGUUCUUUCAGCGAAAUUGGGCACUGCUGAAAACAGAGAUUAUCUCGGCGGUUCAUGAGUUCUUUGCUUCUGGAGUUAUGCCUGAUGGUGUUAAUAACACGGCUAUUGUGCUAAUUCCUAAGGUCCCUCAUCCGAACGAUCUGAAGGACUUUAGAUCGAUAAGCUUGUGCAAUGUUAUAUACAAGAUAAUCUCUAAGUGUAUGGUAAACAGACUUCGUCCUAUCCUGUCUGAUCUUAUCUCUGAAAAUCAAAGUGCCUUCAUCCCUGGGAGGCUGAUUUCUGACAACUCUAUUAUUGCGUUUGAAUGCCUUCACCAUAUUCAGUCGGAAAGAAACAAUGCACCCGGCCACUGUGCUUAUAAGCUAGAUCUCUCUAAGGCCUAUGACAGGGUGGACUGGGUUUUUCUGGAGAAAGCUUUGGUUAAAUGGGGCUUCUCGGCCAAUUGGAUAGCUCAUGUUAUGGCUUGUGUUUCGUCGGUAAAGUACUCGGUAAAAUUCAAUGGGAAGCUACUGGAGUCCUUCUCCCCCUCGAGGGGACUCCGCCAAGGUGAUCCACUGUCUCCAUUCCUCUUCUUAUUUGUAGCUGAUGCUCUCCCUGCGUUGAUUGAAAAGGCUGCAAGGGAAGAUGGUCUCAAUGGGGUCAGAAUUUGUAGAGGUGCUCCAAUGAUCACCCACCUUUUGUUUGCGGAUGACUCACUUCUAUUCUUUCAAGCAAAUAAUCAACAGGCAUUAUUAGUGAAAGGGGUGUUGAACACAUUUGCGACGGCGACAGGACAACUUAUUAACCCGUCGAAGUGUUCCAUUCUAUUCUCAAAUCAAUGCCAUCCUGAUAUGGUUAAGGAGGUCAAAGACACGCUGGACAUCACCCAGGAGGCGUUUGAGCCUAAAUAUCUGGGCUUGCCGGUUCCGGAGGGGAGGAUGCACAAAGGGCACUUUGAGUCUAUUCAAGAGCGUUUGCGGAAAAUCCUUGUGGACUAG
rnacentral:rRNA from 1 species